GGGUGAAGGAGGUGCACGUGGCAAGGUUGUCGUGCCUCCCUGCGGAUCCGUGCUGGCCGGCGACGAGGUGGCCACCAGGGUGCAGCACGCUCCAUACUACGACGUCAACUGCCACCACCGGGCUCCCCCGAAGAUUGGUUGGAUAGAGAUGGCUCGAAGGUUUUGUGGGUAGAAUGUGAGAUAUCUCAAUUAAAGUUCCGUGAAGAAAGAUCCCAAAUGAUGGCAUGUUGUGAUGCUACUCGAUGGCUUGUUGGCUAAAUUGAUGGAAGGAUAAUGAAUUAAGGUGAUUAACCCCGGUAGGCAAGGGAUGCGAGGAGGCAGCAAGCAUAGUUGCAGUGCGGAGCAAG